AGCUCUGCGCAGUGGCAGUAUCGCAGCCAGUGAGGUUUAUCCAAGGCACAAUUAUUGCUAAUUGAAAAUUUUUCCCACUUGUCAUGGAACUUUUAAUAGCUUCAUUGAGG
rnacentral:snRNA from 1 species